UACAGAGGGGGCAAGCGUUGUUCGGAAUUACUGGGCGUAAAGGGCGCGUAGGCGGCCUUCUAAGUCGAACGUGAAAUCCCCGGGCUCAACCCGGGAACUGCGUCCGAUACUGGAAGGCUUGAAUCCGGGAGAGGGAUGUGGAAUUCCAGGUGUAGCGGUGAAAUGCGUAGAUAUCUGGAGGAACACCGGUGGCGAAGGCGAACAUCUGGACCGGUAUUGACGCUGAGGCGCGAAAGCCAGGG
rnacentral:rRNA from 1 species